rnacentral:tRNA from 1 species
UAGGUUAAAGUUCAAUAGUCGAGCAUCCGGCCGUUAACCGGGGAGAAGCUGGAUCAAUACCAGUUAACCUAA